GCCUGUCUCUGCUCCCUCAUGUCUGGGGCCUCAUCUGGGAUGACAUAAUGCUGGCGGGGUGACUCACAUGGCUGGGUGCCACUGUCAUCCAGAAGCUUCUUUGCCCGUGUGUCUGGAACAGGAGCCAGGGUGACCCAACACGGAGCCCAGUCCCGACUGUGGACCCAAGAUCCUACAGCCCCUCAGAGGCCUGUUCACCCAGAGGACAGCACCAACCAACGUCAGGAACAGGGGAAGCUUCAAGAAGACCAGGAGCAGGAAGUCGACACUGCUGAGCAAGGACCUGCGGGCAGCCUGAGAGCAACAUGGUAGCCCUUUCUGGGUAUCUUUGGGAGGAGAAAAGUAGCCUGGAGCCAGCUCAUCUCUCUCCAAACCCCCACAAGAAGCACCUGGAUCUCUGGUUCAGCAAAGACCUUUGGAGAUACUUCCUAGUUUGAAGCCCUACUUGGGAAAAAGGGAAGAGUGUCAAGAGAUCAGAGAAUGGACUAAGAACAAGAGAAAUCUGCUGGGUUUUUCUUCAUUUAAUGGCAAUAUAAUGUUUGGAUCAUACCCCGAGUCUUCAUGCAAGUCGGUCCCAAAAUAUGAAACCUCCAACAGAGGAAAGCCUUUGUCCCCAUCUCUCAUUCUUCUUCCUGUCCAAGGCUACUUGCUCGACCUAACCAGCUGUCCCUUCUCUCUGACUACAUACUUUUGGGUCAUAAAACACCCCACUUAAAUAUCUGGGGUGAGGACUCCCCAUGAAUCUCUCAACCACUACCUCCAUGUGGUUGAUCUCAUACCUCUUCCUCUAACCUAGUCUCUCUUCUGGGCUCUGGACCCAACUUUUUGACGGCUUGUGGGGAAGCUCCACCUGCUUGUACACCCUUAAUCUAAUUCAGUAUAAAGGUGUUGGUGAAGGACAGAGAUCCCGGAGUCAUGCGGAUUUAAAUCCCACCUCCAUCAUGUACUAACCAUGUACCCUUGGGCAUGUUGCUACAUCACUCUCAUCCCUAGCUUCUUCAUCUAUAAAAUAGAGCCAUAGUAACCAUCCUCACCUCAUAGAAAUAAAGGAGUGAACAAACAUAAAGCACUUGUCACAGUGCCUGGAACAUAGUAACUGCUCAGUAAACGUUAACUCUUUAGAAUAGUCCUGGAUCAGGACUACUUCUCAUCUGGUCUGUCAAACAACUAUACACUCCCUUCAAUUCAACUUGAACAUCAGAAACAUAUUCUUCUCGAAGACACAGGUGUUGGUUUUGCCCAAAUUAUUUAAGUUUACAACAAAGGUGCGAGGCAGAUACCAUUAUCCCCACUUUAUAGAUAGGAAGACAGAGGCACAGAGAGGUCCUGAAACCAGACAUCAUCAAAUCAAGUCCAUAAAUCCUAGUCUAGUUUGUUAGCCGUAGGGAUUUGGGGGGAAAGCUGUCUGGUGUCAACCAAUGCCCAGAGCCAUUUUGCUUGGGGACAGCA